AGGAGAGUUUGAUCCUGGCUCAGGAUGAACGCUGGCGGCGUGCUUAACACAUGCAAGUCGAACGGAGAUAUUUGAAAGCUUGCUUUUAGAUAUCUUAGUGGCGGACGGGUGAGUAACGCGUGGGUAACCUACCCUGUACAGGGGGAUAGCAGUUGGAAACGACUGAUAAAACCGCAUAAAACGGCAGUACCGCAUGGUACAACCGUCAAAUAUUCAUAGGUACAGGAUGGGCCCGCGUCUGAUUAGCUAGUUGGUGGGGCAACGGCCUACCAAGGCGACGAUCAGUAGCCGGCCUGAGAGGGUGAACGGCCACAUUGGGACUGAGACACGGCCCAAACUCCUACGGGAGGCAGCAGUGGGGAAUAUUGGACAAUGGGGGAAACCCUGAUCCAGCGACGCCGCGUGAGUGAAGAAGUAUUUCGGUAUGUAAAGCUCUAUCAGCAGGGAAGAUGAUGACGGUACCUGACUAAGAAGCACCGGCUAAAUACGUGCCAGCAGCCGCGGUAAUACGUAUGGUGCAAGCGUUAUCCGGAUUUACUGGGUGUAAAGGGAGCGUAGGCGGCUAUGCAAGUCAGAUGUGAAAGCCCGGGGCUCAACCCCGGGACUGCAUUUGAAACUGCGUAGCUUGAGUGCAGGAGAGGCAGGCGGAAUUCCUAGUGUAGCGGUGAAAUGCGUAGAUAUUAGGAAGAACACCGGUGGCGAAGGCGGCCUGCUGGACUGAGACUGACGCUGAGGCUCGAAAGCGUGGGGAGCAAACAGGAUUAGAUACCCUGGUAGUCCCCU
rnacentral:rRNA from 1 species